UCACGGAUGAACACCCUUCCCCGACCGCAUUCCUUCCGCUCUCGACUAUUAUGUAAAACACCCGCUUCUGUUCUCGAACGUUGACGGUAAAGUUGAGUUGUAAAGCGAGAUAUUUGUAACUUUCUGUUGAUUUUUACGGUAUCGAGUGGAGCGCGAUGGUGCUGAAGUCCGAGGACGGUGUCGUGUGACUCAGACAGGCUGCAACUUGUCCAGACUCCUGAAGUCUGAGGCAAUAUCCAGCAUACCACUGAAUACAUGAGCAGCAUUUCUCUUUGAAUUCCCUGCUUUUUAAGCAGCAUGUUUCCUGGACGUUUAACAGUAUAUUGUAACGUGCUGUAGUCGUGUGUGUUUGUAACACUUGUUGUCUGAUGGUGAGGAAUGUAGCUCAGCUGUCUGGGUUCGGUGAAGGGGGUUGGGAUGUUUUCUAGGAGAAUGCUGAAUGCUGAUAUCUCAAUCUCGCAUAGCCAGACUUUUGACUAUCGAGUAUCAACGUACACAUAUUCUUCACUUUGCAAGUGUUCCAAGAACCAUCCACAAAGGAAGAAUUUCAACAGAAUACAUGUUGGCCCAAGCACAAAGCACAGCAUGCAAUUUUGCUUGAGCAUUUCUUGUUUACAUGCUGCAAAAAAUCUCAUACAAAACUGUAAAAAAAAAAA